rnacentral:rRNA from 1 species
GAUGAACGCUGGCGGCGUGCUUAACACAUGCAAGUCGAACGAAGCACUCUAUUUGAUUUUCUUCGGAAAUGAAGAUUUUGUGACUGAGUGGCGGACGGGUGAGUAACGCGUGGGUAACCUGCCUCAUACAGGGGGAUAACAGUUGGAAACGACUGCUAAUACCGCAUAAGCACACAGGAUCGCAUGAUCCGGUGUGAAAAACUCCGGUGGUAUGAGAUGGACCCGCGUCUGAUUAGCCAGUUGGCAGGGUAACGGCCUACCAAAGCGACGAUCAGUAGCCGACCUGAGAGGGUGACCGGCCACAUUGGGACUGAGACACGGCCCAAACUCCUACGGGAGGCAGCAGUGGGGAAUAUUGCACAAUGGGGGAAACCCUGAUGCAGCGACGCCGCGUGAGCGAAGAAGUAUUUCGGUAUGUAAAGCUCUAUCAGCAGGGAAGAAGA